rnacentral:rRNA from 1 species
CAUGCAAGUCGAGGGGCAGCAUGGUCUUAGCUUGCUAAGGCCGAUGGCGACCGGCGCACGGGUGAGUAACGCGUAUCCAACCUGCCUUACACUCUUGGACAGCCUUCUGAAAGGGAGAUUAAUACAAGAUGUUAUCAUGAGUAAGCAUUUUCACAUGAUUAAAGGUUUACCGGUGUAAGAUGGGGAUGCGUUCCAUUAGAUAGUAGGCGGGGUAACGGCCCACCUAGUCUUCGAUGGAUAGGGGUUCUGAGAGGAAGGUCCCCCACAUUGGAACUGAGACACGGUCCAAACUCCUACGGGAGGCAGCAGUGAGGAAUAUUGGUCAAUGGACGAGAGUCUGAACCAGCCAAGUAGCGUGAAGGAUGAAGGUUCUAUGGAUUGUAAACUUCUUUUAUACGGGAAUAAACGAAUCCACGUGUGGAUUUUUGCAUGUACCGUAUGAAUAAGGAUCGGCUAACUCCGUGCCAGCAGCCGCGGUAAUACGGAGGAUCCGAGCGUUAUCCGGAUUUAUUGGGUUUAAAGGGAGCGUAGAUGGGUUGUUAAGUCAGUUGUGAAAGUUUGCGGCUCAACCGUAAAAUUGCAAUUGAUACUGGCAGUCUUGAGUACAGUUGAGGUAGGCGGAAUUCGUGGUGUAGCGGUGAAAUGCUUAGAUAUCACGAAGAACUCCGAUUGCGAAGGCAGCUUACUAACCUGUAACUGACAUUGAUGCUCGAAAGUGUGGGUAUCAAACAGGAUUAGAUACCCUGGUAGUCCACACGGUAAACGAUGAAUACUCGCUGUAGGCGAUAUACAGUCUGCGGCCAAGCGAAAGCAUU